AUGGCCACUACCUCAUGCAUGGACCUUUUACAUGUGAGACAUGGCCACUACCUCAUGCAUGGACCUUGUGUAUACUCAGGCACAGCCGAGAGCCGAGACGACCAUGGAGAAUCAAAGGACCAAGGUCAAGCAUGGAAGAGGAGAAGGAAGAAGAGAACGAGCAACUCAGGAGCUGCCCGGAUGAUCUGGACCGACACGCGACAUGAGGACAUCAAGCCCCAGGCCGAAGCCGGAUCAUUCGGACCAACACCCCGACAAUCUGGAACCACCCAGAUCAUCCGGACGCCAACCCGGACAUCCGGGCCACCCGCGACUGCUACGACACAUCCGAAUGAUCCGGACGGUCGCCCGGAUCAUCCGGACCACGCCUACGUGUAUGACUUGGGCCGAGGCCCAUGUACCCCUUCGCCCCCUAGUCUAUAUAUACUCCUCCAUCAUUUUAGGAUUAGCAUUGUAUUAGUUCAUUUGUAUGUGAGCUUUGCUCCUAUCUACUCUACUCUUUUGAGAGAGAGAGAGAGAGGGAGGGAGAGAGAGAGAACCCCACUCCAAAUCGUGAAAGAUCGGCCCUAG
rnacentral:rRNA from 1 species